GUGCUUGCUUCAGCACCACAUAUACUAAAAUUGGAAUGACACAGAGAAGAUUAGUGUGGUCCCUGUGCAAGGAUGACAUGCAAAUUCUUGAAGCAUUCCAUAUUUUU
ensembl:snRNA RNU6-348P RNA, U6 small nuclear 348, pseudogene